UACGUAGGCAGCAAGCGUUGUUCGGAAUUACUGGGCGUAAAGAGUGUGUAGGCGGUGCUCUAAGUUUCGGUGUGAAAUCUCCCGCUCAACUGGGAGGGUGCGCCGGAAACUGGGGGUGCUGGAGCGCGGGGAGAGGAAAAGCGGAAUUCCUGGUGUAGCGGUGAAAAUGCGUAGAUAUCAGGGAGGAACACCCGGCGGUGUAGACGGCUUUUCUGGGACCCU
rnacentral:rRNA from 1 species